GAUGAACGCUGGCGGCGUGCCUAAUACAUGCAAGUAGAACGCUGAAGGAGGAGCUUGCUCUUCUGGAUGAGUUGCGAACGGGUGAGUAACGCGUAGGUAACCUGCCUGGUAGCGGGGGAUAACUAUUGGAAACGAUAGCUAAUACCGCAUGACAACAGUUAUUGCAUGAUAACUGUUUAAAAGGGGCAACUGCUCCACUACCAGAUGGACCUGCGUUGUAUUAGCUAGUUGGUGAGGUAACGGCUCACCAAGGCGACGAUACAUAGCCGACCUGAGAGGGUGAUCGGCCACACUGGGACUGGGACACGGCCCAGACUCCUACGGGAGGCAGCAGUAGGGAAUCUUCGGCAAUGGACGGAAGUCUGACCGAGCAACGCCGCGUGAGUGAAGAAGGUUUUCGGAUCGUAAAGCUCUGUUGUAAGAGAAGAACGAGUGUGAGAGUGGAAAGUUCACACUGUGACGGUAUCUGACCAGAAAGGGACGGCUAACUACGUG
rnacentral:rRNA from 1 species